GGUAGUUAAGUCAGAAGUGAAAUCCAAUAGCUCAACUAUUGAACUGCUUUUGAAACUGAUUACCUAGAAUAUGGGAGAGGUAGAUGGAAUUUCUGGUGUAGGGGUAAAAUCCGUAGAGAUCAGAAGGAAUACCGAUUGCGAAGGCGAUCUACUGGAACAUUAUUGACGCUGAGACGCGAAAGCGUGGGGAGCAAACAGGAUUAGAUACCCUGGUAGUCCACGCCCUAAACGAUGUACACUAGUUGUUGUGAGGCUCGACCUUGCAGUAAUGCAGUUAACACAUUAAGUGUACCGCCUGGGGAGUACGGUCGCAAGAUUAAAACUCAAAGGAAUAGACGGGGACCCGCACAAGCGGUGGAGCAUGUGGUUUAAUUCGACGAUACACGAAGAACCUUACCUGGACUUGACAUAGUAAGAACUUUCUAGAGAUAGAUUGGUGUCUGCUUGCAGAAACUUAUAUACAGGUGCUGCACGGCUGUCGUCAGCUCGUGUCGUGAGAUGUUGGGUUAAGUCCCGCAACGAGCGCAACCCUCGUCAUUAGUUGCUAACAGUUCGGCUGAGAACUCUAAUGAGACUGCCUACGCAAGUAGGAGGAAGGUGAGGACGACGUCAAGUCAUCAUGGCCCUUACGUCCAGGGCUACACACGUGCUACAAUGGGGUAUACAAAGAGCCGCAAUACGGUGACGUGGAGCAAAUCUCAAAAAUAUCUCCCAGUUCGGAUUGUAGUCUGCAACUCGACUACAUGAAGUUGGAAUCGCUAGUAAUCG
rnacentral:rRNA from 1 species